UACGGGGGGGGCGAGCGUUGUUCGGAAUUACUGGGCGUAAAGGGUUUGUAGGUGGUUUGCUAAGUCAGACGUGAAAUCCCUCAGCUUAACUGGGGAACUGCGUCUGAUACUGGCGGACUUGAGGACAGGAGAGGAACGCGGAAUUCCAGGUGUAGCGGUGAAAUGCGUAGAUAUCUGGAGGAACACCGGUGGCGAAGGCGGCGUUCUGGACUGUUUCUGACACUGAAAAACGAAAGCCAGGGGAGCAAACGGG
rnacentral:rRNA from 1 species